GGGUGUUCGUUUUCCAUAUGCAGGUGCGGGCAGGUAUUCACGCUGGUCGGGCCGCCAGCG
rnacentral:ncRNA from 22 species